UAAGGUGCGCUCAGGGAAGAUAGAAACCUCUCGUAGAGCAGAAGGGCAAAAGCUCGCUUGAUCUUGAUUUUCAAUACNAAUGCAGACCAUGGAGGCUGG
rnacentral:ncRNA from 1 species